UUAACAGCUAAAUUUCACAAACAGGAAAAUGUUGUGUGAGUUUUGAAAGCCAGAACUUGUUCUUCUGAGUGUAGAGUUGUAAAUCUAAUGUAAUAAUGUAAGAGAAACAGGGAUGGCAGAAAUCAAAACCAGCAUGUUUUGAGUUUAAAGUUAUCCCUCUCCACGAUGUCUUCUUUAUCAUACAAUGUAACAUUUGUUGAAACAUAGAUUUUCUAUCCGUUUGGCCCCAGACCCGUACCCAAAUUAAACCAAAUAAUCCCAAAGCCCAAAUAACCCCUAAAAACCAAACAGACGCUAACCCCAAUUUGAUCUAACUAGCCCAAAUUUAGAGUUUCAAAAUCUGAAAUCCUAAAUCACUUAAUCUCACCGCCCCCAAUCACAUCUCCAGUGCAAGUGGUACAUGCCUCCAUCGUCAUUCGCCUGCAGCAUUAAAAGAGAAAGGACAGUGUGCAGAAGAAAGGAGAAAACACUUGUAAAAAAGGGGCUAUAAAAACCACAGAGGGAUCGAGUGUAAGGGGUUCUUUUUUUUUUGGUUCUUGAUUUUCAUUUUCUCGUAAUACAAAAAGAAGAUUAACAUCAAAAACAGACUCAAACACUAACUCUAAACCGCAGCAAAACAGAUCGAAGACUGAAUCGAAGUUUUAUCCACUUUUCUUUUCAUUUUUAAUUUUCUUUUCGAAUUUGUUUGUACGUAUAAUAUCCCUUCUAUUAAAACAAUACACAUAUAUAUUGAGUAUAAUAAAAAAAUAAAAAAAGGGGAAAAAAUUACCUAAGGGCGAUUUUCGGCCACCGUGUAUGGUGGCCGGCGCGGAGGACGGUGACCGGUCCGGCAACAGAGACCUGAGGCUGAGAGAGAGCUGAGGGGCCUGCUUUCU
rnacentral:lncRNA from 1 species